AUAUCAAUAAGCGGAGGAAAAGAAACCAACAGGGAUUCCCCUAGUAACGGCGAGUGAAGCGGGAACAGCUCAAAUUUGAAAGCUGGCCUUCUGGUCCGCAUUGUAAUUUGUAGAGGAUGCUUUUGGCGCGGUGCCUUCUGAGUUCCUUGGAACAGGACGCCUUAGAGGGUGAGAGCCCCGUACAGUUGGACACCUAGCCUUUGUAAAGCUCCUUCGACGAGUCGAGUAGUUUGGGAAUGCUGCUCUAAAUGGGAGGUAAAUUUCUUCUAAAGCUAAAUACCGGCCAGAGACCGAUAGCGCACAAGUAGAGUGAUCGAAAGAUGAAAAGCACUUUGAAAAGAGGGUUAAAUAGCACGUGAAAUUGUUGAAAGGGAAGCGCUUAUGACCAGACUUUUUCCAGGCGGAUCAUCCGGCGUUCUCGCCGGUGCACUUCGUCUGGUUUAGGCCAACAUCGAUUUUCGCCGGGGGAUAAAGGCUUCGGGAAUGUGACUCUCUCCGGGGAGUGUUAUAGCCCGUUGUGUAAUACCCUGGCGGGGAUCGAGGUACGCGCUCUGCAAGGAUGUUGGCAUAAUGGUCAUCAGUGACCCGUCUUGAAACACGGACCAAGGAGUCGAACAUUUAUGCGAGUGUUUGGGUGUUAAACCCUCACGCGUAAUGAAAGUGAACGGAGGUGAGAGCCUUUUAGGUGCAUCAUCGACCGAUCCUGAUGUCUUCGGAUGGAUUUGAGUAAGAGCAUAACUGUUCGGACCCGAAAGAUGGUGAACUAUGCGUGGAUAGGGUGAAGCCAGAGGAAACUCUGGUGGAGGCUCGCAGCGGUUCUGACGUGCAAAUCGAUCGUCAAAUCUGCGCAUGGGGGCGAAAGACUAAUCGAA
rnacentral:rRNA from 1 species